AUAGCGUAUAUUAAAGUUGUUGCAGUUAAAAAGCUCGUAGUUGAAUUUUUGAUCUGGCUAAGGUGUCGGCCGCAAGGUCUGUACUCCUUGGCUGGAUCUUUCCUUCUGGAGAGCCAUUACGCCAUUUAUUUGGUGUUUUGGGGAUCCAGGACUUUUACCUUGAAAAAAUUAGAGUGUUUAAAGCAGGCAUACGCUUGAAUACAUUAGCAUGGAAUAAUAGAAUAGGACUUUGGUUCUAUUUUGUUGGUUUCUAGGACCGAAGUAAUGAUUAAUAGGGAUAGUUGGGGGCAUUAGUAUUUAAUUGUCAGAGGUGAAAUUCUUGGAUUUAUGAAAGACUAACUUCUG
rnacentral:rRNA from 1 species